AUGAAAUGACUCUCGGCAACGGAUAUCUCGGCUCUUGCAUCGAUGAAGAACGUAGCGAAAUGCGAUACUUGGUGUGAAUUGCAGAAUCCCGUGAACCAUCGAGUCUUUGAACGCAAGUUGCGCCCGAAGCCAUUAGGUUGAGGGCACGCCUGCCUGGGUGUCACGU
rnacentral:rRNA from 1 species